rnacentral:rRNA from 1 species
UACGGAGGAUGCGAGCGUUAUCCGGAUUUAUUGGGUUUAAAGGGUGCGCAGGCGGCGAGUUAAGUCAGCGGUAAAAUUUCGGGGCUCAACCCCGACAAGCCGUUGAAACUGGCUUGCUAGAGUGGGCGAGAAGUAUGCGGAAUGCGUGGUGUAGCGGUGAAAUGCAUAGAUAUCACACAGAACACCGAUUGCGAAGGCAUCUGACGAAUCGGAGAUUGACGCUGAUGCACGAAAGCGUGGGUAUCGAACAGG